rnacentral:lncRNA from 1 species
GUUGGUAUUAAUGCUAUUCCCUUGAUUUCUCUUAUAAUUCCUAAAGAUCUUUUGGCUUUCUUUACUGUAGAUUCUAUGUGACUAUUGAAAUUUAGUUGUUCAUCUAAUUUUAAUCCAAGUAUAACUGGAUUAGGGUUGUAUUUUAGAAUUGUGUUUCCAAGCUUUAGUUUGAUAUUUUGGACUUUAUUUUUUUCUUUACUGAAAAUACUGUACUCUGUUUU